rnacentral:rRNA from 1 species
UACGGAGGGUGCAAGCGUUAUCCGGAUUCACUGGGUUUAAAGGGUGCGUAGGAGGGUAGGUAAGUCAGUGGUGAAAUCUUCGAGCUUAACUCGGAAACUGCCGUUGAUACUAUCUAUCUUGAAUACCGUGGAGGUGAGCGGAAUAUGUCAUGUAGCGGUGAAAUGCUUAGAUAUGACAUAGAACACCAAUUGCGAAGGCAGCUCGCUACACGAAUAUUGACUCUGAGGCACGAAAAGCGUGGGGGAUCAAACAGG